UGACUUGUGGCAUAGUGGUUUGUGCAUUGGACUAGGACUCUAGAGACCAGGGUUCGAAUCCCAGCUUGGCCA